CCUACGGGAGGCAGCAGUGAGGAAUAUUGGUCAAUGGGCGCGAGCCUGAACCAGCCAAGUAGCGUGAAGGAUGACUGCCCUACGGGUUGUAAACUUCUUUUAUAAAGGAAUACAGUGAGGCACGUGUGCCUUUUUGUAUGUACUUUAUGAAUACGGAUCGGCUAACUCCGUGCCAGCAGCCGCGGUAAUACGGAGGAUACGAGCGUUAUCCGGAUUUAUUGGGUUUAAAGGGAGCGUAGAUGGGUUGUUAAGUCAGUUGUGAAAGUUUGCGGCUCAACCGUAAAAUUGCAAUUGAUACUGGCAGUCUUGAGUACAGUUGAGGUGGGCGGAAUUCGUGGUGUAGCGGUGAAAUGCUUAGAUAUCACGAAGAGCUCCGAUGGCGAAGGCAGCUUACUAAACUGCCACUGACAUUGAUGCUCGAAAGUGUGGGUAGCAAACAGGAUUAGAUACCCCUGUAGUC
rnacentral:rRNA from 1 species